AGAGUUUGAUCAUGGCUCAGGAUGAACGCCGGCGGUGUGCCUAAUACAUGCAAGUCGUACGCACUGGCCCAACUGAUUGAUGGUGCUUGCACCUGAUUGACGUUGGAUCACCAGUGAGUGGCGGACGGGUGAGUAACACGUAGGUAACCUGCCCCGGAGCGGGGGAUAACAUUUGGAAACAGAUGCUAAUACCGCAUAACAACAAAAGCCACAUGGCUUUUGUUUGAAAGAUGGCUUUGGCUAUCACUCUGGGAUGGACCUGCGGUGCAUUAGCUAGUUGGUAAGGUAACGGCUUACCAAGGCGAUGAUGCAUAGCCGAGUUGAGAGACUGAUCGGCCACAAUGGAACUGAGACACGGUCCAUACUCCUACGGGAGGCAGCAGUAGGGAAUCUUCCACAAUGGGCGCAAGCCUGAUGGAGCAACACCGCGUGAGUGAAGAAGGGUUUCGGCUCGUAAAACUCUGUUGUUGGAGAAAAACGUGCGUGAGAGUAACUGUUCACGCAGUGACGGUAUCCAACCAGAAAGUCACGGCUAACUACGUGCCAGCAGCCGCGGUAAU
rnacentral:rRNA from 1 species